rnacentral:rRNA from 1 species
UCGGGAAUUUUGGGCAAUGGGCGCAAGCCUGAUCCAGCCAUGCCGCGUGAGUGACGAAGGUCUUCGGAUUGUAAAACUCUUUUGGCGGGGACGAAACGGUUCGUGACAACACCACGGACUAAUGACGGUACCCGCAUAAGAAGCACCGGCUAACUACGUGCCAGCAGCCGCGGUAAUACGUAGGGUGCAGGCGCUAAUCGGAAUUACUGGGCGUAAAGCGUGCGCAGGCGGUUUGUUAAGACAGGUGUGAAAUCCCCGGGCUUAACCUGGGAAUUGCGCUUGUAACUGGCAGGCUAGAGUGUGGCAGAGGGGGGUGGAAUUCCACGUGUAGCAGUGAAAUGCGUAGAUAUGUGGAGGAACACCGAUGGCGAAGGCAGCCCCCUGGGUUAACACUGACGCUCAUGCACGAAAGCGUGGGGAGCAAACAGGAUUAGAUACCCUGGUAGUCCCUGAGCGGGCUGGCAAGGCGCAU